rnacentral:rRNA from 1 species
AUUGAACGCUGGCGGCAGGCCUAACACAUGCAAGUCGAGCGGAUGAAGGGAGCUUGCGCCUGGAUUCAGCGGCGGACGGGUGAGUAAUGCCUAGGAAUCUGCCUGGUAGGGGGGGAUAACGUCCGGAAACGGGCGCUAAUACCGCAUACGUCCUGAGGGAGAAAGUGGGGGAUCUUCGGACCUCACGCUAUCAGAUGAGCCUAGGUCGGAUUAGCUAGUUGGUGGGGUAAAGGCCUACCAAGGCGACGAUCCGUAACUGGUCUGAGAGGAUGAUCAGUCACACUGGAGCUGAGACACGGUCCAGACUCCUACGGGAGGCAGCAGUGGGGAAUAUUGGACAAUGGGCGGAAGCCUGAUCCAGCCAUGCCGCGUGUGUGAAGAAGGCCUUCGGAUUGUAAAGCACUUUAAGUUGGGAGGAAGGGCAGUAAGUUAAUACCUUGCUGUUUUGACGUUACCAACAGAAUAAGCACCGGCUAACUUCGUG